rnacentral:rRNA from 1 species
AACUUAAAGGAAUUGACGGGGCCCGCACAAGCGGAGGAGCAUGUGGUUUAAUUCGAAGCAACGCGCAGAACCUUACCAACCCUUGACAUGGGUAUCGCGAUUUCCAGAGAUGGAUUUCUUCAGUUCGGCUGGAUACCACACAGGUGCUGCAUGGCUGUCGUCAGCUCGUGUCGUGAGAUGUUCGGUUAAGUCCGGCAACGAGCGCAACCCACGUCUUUAGUUGCCAGCAUUCAGUUGGGCACUCUAAAGAAACUGCCGAUGAUAAGUCGGAGGAAGGUGUGGAUGACGUCAAGUCCUCAUGGCCCUUACGGGUUGGGCUACACACGUGCUUCAAUGGCAGUGACAAUGGGUUAAUCCCUAAAAGCUGUCUCAGUUCGGAUUGGGGUCUGCAACUCGACCCCAUGAAGUCGGAAUCGCUAGUAAUCGCGUAACAGCAUGACGCGGUGAAUACGUUCCCGGGCCUU